rnacentral:rRNA from 1 species
UACGUAGGGUGCGAGCGUUUGUCCGGAAUUAUUGGGCGUAAAGGGCUCGUAGGCGGUUUGUCGCGUCGGGGAGUGAAAACACACAGCUUAACUGUGUGCUUGCUUCCGAUACGGGCAGACUAGAGGUAUGCAGGGGGAGAACGGAAUUCCUGGUGUAGCGGUGAAAUGCGCAGAUAUCAGGAGGAACACCGGUGGCGAAGGCGGUUCUCUGGGCAUUACCUGACGCUGAGGAGCGAAAGUGUGGGGAGCGAACAGG